AUGUGGCUCGCCGGCCCCGAUCCCGCUGGUCUGCCUCGAGCCCUCGACAUGCUGCUCGCCGCGCAGGCGCGGACCUUCCUAUAUACGGCCGAUGUCGUCACCGCCGUCGAGAGCUUCCCCGGCCACCGCGGCACCGUCAACGGCAUCCUGAAGUAUUCAGUCUCUGCUCUGCGUCAGUACCUAUAUGAUGUGAUUAAUUAG
rnacentral:rRNA from 1 species